AUAAAUCAAAACUUUCAACAACGGAUCUCUUGGUUCUGGCAUCGAUGAAGAACGCAGCA
rnacentral:rRNA from 1 species